AGGAUCUUAAACUUCUUGAUCGUGAAAAAUCAAAUGAGCUUUCCCCCAUGACAUUUCUGUGGAACGAGCUUAGCUGCUAGGUGAAUCCCUAAAGUAGAUUAUGUCUCCGCAGCAUUGGAAUCAAUAUUUUGACUUUCCUGGUCUAUUUAAAUAACUGAAGCUAGCCGAAUACGAACUAACGGAAGACUAGUUAGACAUAGGGAAUAGGGACAACUCAUUUCGUCUCACUUGAACUGAAUGAGUUGAUAAACGAAUCCCUAGAAAAAAUGGGUGGAACGAGCUUAGCUGCUAGGUGAAUCCCUAAAGUAGAUUAUGUCUCCGCAGCAUUGGAAUCAAUAUUUUGACUUUCCUGGUCUAUUUAAAUAACUGAAGCUAGCCGAAUACGAACUAACGGAAGACUAGUUAGACAUAGGG
rnacentral:lncRNA from 1 species